ACGAACGCUGGCGGCAUGCCUAACACAUGCAAGUCGAACGAGACCUUCGGGUCUAGUGGCGCACGGGUGCGUAACGCGUGGGAACCUGCCCUUAGGUUCGGAAUAACUCCCCGAAAGGGGUGCUAAUACCGGAUAAUGUCUUCGGACCAAAGAUUUAUCGCCUUUGGAUGGGCCCGCGUUGGAUUAGCUAGUUGGUAGGGUAAAAGCCUACCAAGGCGACGAUCCAUAGCUGGUCUGAGAGGAUGAUCAGCCACACUGGGACUGAGACACGGCCCAGACUCCUACGGGAGGCAGCAGUGGGGAAUAUUGGACAAUGGGCGAAAGCCUGAUCCAGCAAUGCCGCGUGAGUGAUGAAGGCCUUAGGGUUGUAAAGCUCUUUUACCCGGGAUGAUAAUGACAGAACCGGGAGAAUAAGCUCCGGCUAACUCCGUG
rnacentral:rRNA from 1 species